rnacentral:rRNA from 1 species
UACGUAGGGCGCAAGCGUUAUCCGGAAUUAUUGGGCGUAAAGAGCUCGUAGGCGGUUUGUCGCGUCUGCCGUGAAAGUCCGGGGCUUAACCCCGGAUCUGCGGUGGGUACGGGCAGACUAGGGUGCAGUAGGGGAGACUGGAAUUCCUGGUGUAGCGGUGAAAUGCGCAGAUAUCAGGAGGAACACCGAUGGCGAAGGCAGGUCUCUGGGCUGUAACUGACGCUGAGGAGCGAAAGCAUGGGGAGCGAACAGGAUUAGAUA